rnacentral:rRNA from 1 species
AAGACCUUGCGCUUUUGGAGCGGCCGAUGUCUGAUUAGCUUGUUGGUGAGGUAAARGCUUACCAAGGCUUCGAUCAGUAGCUGGUCUGAGAGGACGACCAGCCACACUGGGACUGAGACACGGCCCAGACUCCUACGGGAGGCAGCAGUGGGGAAUUUUGGACAAUGGGGGCAACCCUGAUCCAGCCAUGCCGCGUGAGUGAAGAAGGCCUUCGGGUUGUAAAGCUCUUUCAGCCGGAAMGAAACGGUUACGGUUAAUACCCGUGACUACUGACGGUACCGGAAGAAGAAGCACCGGCUAACUACGUGCCAGCAGCCGCGGUAAUACGUAGGGUGCGAGCGUUAAUCGGAAUUACUGGGCGUAAAGCGUGCGCAGGUGGUUUUGUAAGUCAGAUGUGAAAUCCCCGGGCUUAACCUGGGAACU